rnacentral:rRNA from 1 species
ACGCUCGACACCUACUGGAGGCAGCAGUGGGGGAUAUUGCGCAAUGGGGGAAACCCUGACGCAGCAACGCCGCGUGAAGGACGAAGGUUUUCGGAUUGUAAACUUCUUUUGUUAGGGACGAAGAAAUGACGGUACCUGACGAAUAAGCUCCGGCUAACUACGUGUCAGCAGCCGCGGUAAUCUGAGCGGGCUGGCAAGGC